rnacentral:rRNA from 1 species
AGUGAACGCUGGCGGUAGGCCUAACACAUGCAAGUCGAACGGCAGCACAGGAGAGCUUGCUCUCUGGGUGGCGAGUGGCGGACGGGUGAGGAAUACAUCGGAAUCUACUCUGUCGUGGGGGAUAACGUAGGGAAACUUACGCUAAUACCGCAUACGACCUACGGGUGAAAGCAGGGGACCUUCGGGCCUUGCGCGAUUGAAUGAGCCGAUGUCGGAUUAGCUAGUUGGCGGGGUAAAGGCCCACCAAGGCGACGAUCCGUAGCUGGUCUGAGAGGAUGAUCAGCCACACUGGAGCUGAGACACGGUCCAGACUCCUACGGGAGGCAGCAGUGGGGAAUAUUGGACAAUGGGCGCAAGCCUGAUCCAGCCAUACCGCGUGGGUGAAGAAGGCCUUCGGGUUGUAAAGCCCUUUUGUUGGGAAAGAAAUCCAGCUGGCUAAUACCCGGUUGGGAUGACGGUACCUAAAGAAUAAGCACCGGCUAACUUCGUGCCAGCCGCCGCAGUAA